rnacentral:rRNA from 1 species
CCUACGGGAGGCAGCAGUGAGGAAUAUUGGUCAAUGGACGAGAGUCUGAACCAGCCAAGUAGCGUGAAGGAUGACUGCCCUAUGGGUUGUAAACUUCUUUUAUAAAGGAAUAAAACGAGGCACGUGUGCCUUUUUGCAUGUACUUUAUGAAUAAGGAUCGGCUAAAUCCGUGCCAGCAGCCGCGGUAAUACGGAGGAUCCGAGCGUUAUCCGGAUUUAUUGGGUUUAAAGGGAGCGUAGAUGGGUUGUUAAGUCAGUUGUGAAAGUUUGCGGCUCAACCGUAAAAUUGCAAUUGAUACUGGAAGUCUUGAGUACAGUUGAGGUAGGCGGAAUUCGUGGUGUAGCGGUGAAAUGCUUAGAUAUCACGAAGAACCCCGAUUGCGAAGGCAGCUUACUAAACUGUGACUGACAUUGAUGCUCGAAAGUGUGGGUAUCAAACAGGAUUAGAUACCCGUGUAGUC